rnacentral:rRNA from 1 species
AGAACGAACGCUGGCGGCAUGCCUAACACAUGCAAGUCGAACGAGACCUUCGGGUCUAGUGGCGCACGGGUGCGUAACGCGUGGGAAUCUGCCCUUGGGUUCGGAAUAACAGUUGGAAACGACUGCUAAUACCGGAUAAUGACUUCGGUCCAAAGAUUUAUCGCCCAAGGAUGAGCCCGCGUAAGAUUAGCUAGUUGGUGGGGUAAAGGCCUACCAAGGCUACGAUCUUUAGCUGGUCUGAGAGGAUGAUCAGCCACACUGGGACUGAGACACGGCCCAGACUCCUACGGGAGGCAGCAGUGGGGAAUAUUGGACAAUGGGCGAAAGCCUGAUCCAGCAAUGCCGCGUGAGUGAUGAAGGCCUUAGGGUUGUAAAGCUCUUUUACCGGAUGAUAAUGACAGUACCGGAGAAUAAGCUCCGGCUAACUCCGUGCCAGCAGCCGC